AGCAGCCGCGGUAAUUCCAGCUCCAAUAGCGUAUAUUAAAGUUGUUGCAGUUAAAAAGCUCGUAGUUGAAUUUCGGGAUCAAAUUGUCGGUCGUGCCUCGGUACGUACUGGUAUUAUUGGUUCCUCCCUUCUGACGAACCACGAUGUCAUUAAUUUGGUGUCAUGGGAAAUCGGGACUGUUACUUUGAAAAAAAUUAGAGUGUUUAAAGCAGGCUCGCGCUUGAAUACAUUAGCAUGGAAUAAUGAAAUAGGACGUUUGAUUCUAUUUUGUUGGUUUCUAGGAUCGACGUAAUGAUUAAUAGGGAUAGUUGGGGGCAUUAGUAUUCAAUUGUCAGAGGUGAAAUUCUCGGAUUUAUUGAAGACUAACUACUGCGAAAGCAUUUGCCAAGGAUGUUUUCAUAAUUCAAGAACGAAAGUUAGGGGAUCGAAGACGAUCAGAUACCGUCGUAGUCUUAACCAUAAACUAUGCCGACUAGGGAUCGGAUGAUGUUAAUUUUUUUAAUGACUCAUUCGGCGCCUU
rnacentral:rRNA from 1 species